CUUGGCGGCCAUAGCAGUUUGGACCCACCUGAUCCCAUCCCGAACUCAGAAGUGAAACGAACCCGCGCCGAUGAUAGUGUGGAUUACCCAUGUGAAAGUAGGUCACCGCCAGGC
rnacentral:rRNA from 2 species